CUGGCCCUUUGAUUAAAUGCAAGGACCUGCUGGUGUGUAAAACAGCAGCCUGGCUUUAGCAGACCAAGCUGCUGAUGGAACUGAAAGGAAAAAUAAUAUUUCAACUCCUGGACAAUUAAAAACGAGAGCUGGAGGUAACAGCUUGUCUCUGUGUGGACAGGCCAAGUCUCAGGCCCCUCAGUUCCUGUGGCUCAGUCUAUAGAUUGAUCUAUAUGUGUCUGUUCUUGGAUUUCAGGCCUGGACCUGAGUCAACUGAACUUCUCCAGUGUGUGGUGAUCAUUGAAUUGGACUUGGAGACAUGAAAAAAGCUGCUGGAAAACUUGGAGCUGGCUCUGAAUUGCCAUUCAAGCAAUUUGUGUUAAAAAAGGCUGCCAGCUCAAGGAGAUGGUGGAAAAUGAGCCAAAAGCAUGGUGUGAGUCAAGAGGCACUGAAGUGCUGCCAAGCAUCGAUUCCCACCGUGGCAGGAAGGACUCCCUCCCGGGGUGGUGAAUUCCAAAGGAAUGGCUCUGUGGUGGCUGGCACCGGCUGCAGCAGGAAAGUCACACCGAGACAGGAACAGGGCAGCAGGUAAGAAUCUCAGUGUCCCACUCAUGCAUCCAGGCACUCUGUGGUUUCCCAGCCUGUGGUGUGGGAA
rnacentral:lncRNA from 1 species